UACGUAGGCAGCAAGCGUUGUUCGGAGUUACUGGGCGUAAAGGGUGUGUAGGCGGUUGUUUAAGUUUGGUGUGAAAUCUCCCGGCUCAACCGGGAGGGUGCGCCGAAUACUGAAUGACUUGGAGUGCGGGAGAGGAAAGUGGAAUUCCUGGUGUAGCGGUGAAAUGCGUAGAUAUCAGGAGGAACACCAGUGGUGUAGACGGCUUUCUGGACCGUAACUGACGCUGAGACACGAAAGCGUGGGUAGCAAACAGG
rnacentral:rRNA from 1 species